rnacentral:rRNA from 1 species
GAUGAACGCUGGCGGCGUGCCUAAUACAUGCAAGUCGAGCGAAGCGGGGACGGGUGAGUAACACGUGGAUAACCUCCUCUAAGACUGGGAUAACUUCGGGAAACCGUAGCUAAACCGGAUACUUAUGGUUGGAUUCGCGUUGCAUUAGCUAGUUGGUAAGGUAACGGCUUACCAAGGCAACGAUGCAUACCCGACCUGGGAGGGUGAUCGGCCACACCGGAACGGGGACACGGUCCAGACUCCUACGGGGGGCAGAAGUGGGGAAUCUUCCGCAAUGGGCGAAAGCCUGACGGAGAAACGCCGCGUGAGUGAUGAAGGUCUUCGGAUCGUAAAACUCGGUUAUUAGGGAAGCGGUACCUAAUCAGAAAGCCACGGCUAACUACGUGCCAGCAGCCGCGGUAAUAC